UUUAGUUAGAUUUUUCUUUUCCUUCCUUUAUAAUACUGUGCAAUAUCUGGGAUUAUUAAUCUAGGAAGAUAGGCACAAGAGAAGCAAAGACAGGGGCACUGCUAUAGUGAGCAGCUUUUUUUUACUAGAUCAUAGAUCCUGAAAAUCCAAACUAGGUACUAGGAAUGUUCAUCCACAUUACAGCCUCUAAUACUUCAAACAGGUGCAACCACAGUGGGGCUCAGGAACUUGGCAUCUAUGCCAUUCAGAUAGCUCUUAUACAUAAUGCAACAGGCACUCCUGACUGUAUGUGAGCCAUGACUCUUUAAAUGGAUCAGGGUGCUGACCAUU